UUUAUUGGGGACUACGAAGGUUGAUGAGCCGGGAAACACUCUUUCUUCCUACGGGGUUUCUUAUGGGAGUAUGAGUGAAAAAAAAGCAAAAAAUCUUCCCUCCUUCACUUUCUCACAGAAAACCGCAAACAAAAUCAUCACCUUCGUAGUCCCCAAUUGUCAGUUGUUAUGUAAGCCUCGCUUGAAGCACUUCCCGUGAGAACCCUGUCAUCUGUACACCAACUAAUCCGUAUCUUCGUACACAGCUAAAUACUAUACUGCCAACCGGCGAAAAGCCUAUGGAUACCCCACGGAAUUGAUGAGUAGUGAGUUCAAUGCAGAGAUCCCCCCCCCUCACACUCCCAAAUUGUGGUAGGCCUCCGCUAAACCUGCAAACCAGACCCACCCCCAGCCAAAAGCUCUAGCAGAUGUGGACAAACCGGUGCUCAACGUGCUCUCCCAUAGUGGCAACAUCAAAUAUGUGGACUGUACAACAAUAGUAGUUUUAAUGAAAUGAAUACUAAGAAUUUAGGCCGACACUCGAAGUGACGAACUUUACAGUGCUAGUUGAGUAAAUACACGAAAAAUGGGUAACAACAAAUGUGCACAAACAGAUGCAUAACAAUAUGCAUGUAAAAAAAAGGCCGCAACUAUCCAUGGUGAAUUUAAAAUAAUGACAGCGUAAAUAUAAUGGAACAGACUCACCGAAUUUAGCUCCAAAAUGCCCCCUAGACGAUGGUAUUGUUCACUCUUUGUAGCCACGCGUUGUAGAAAAUGAACCUGAAAUGACAAGAAGACAGUGGGCCGCCAAACUCCACAAAAUGGCGGCCCGGAAAUUUUAGUAUUCUGUUUAUAGCAUUGUUGAGCAUCAUAGAGAGCAUAAUUUAUAUUCAGUUUUAAAUAUAGUUUCUUGUUACUAUGCUAAGAAAUAGAAAGAUUCAAAAGUUUUUUUUUCUACCUGCACCAGUGAACUUCUUGAGUGAACAGCAUUCAACAUCUAAAAUUUAGAUUCUAAAUUGUUCAUUCACUAAUGCGAUUUUCUUAUCACCCUGCCCUGUCAUAAUUAGAAGAUAUAAGUAAUGCAGAGAUAUCCCAUAUGCACUCUUGCAUUACAUAAUAAGGUUGGACCCUGCUGCAAUCAAUGUCGUUAUGCUAUCCACUCCUGAGUUUAUAGUUGCUAUAAAAAUAAUUUCGAAGAAGUGAAAAAGAAUAGUACGAAUCAACUUGUUAAUAAAAUGCUGCUACUAUUACUAU